CUGAUCCUUAAACUUAGCUAACCCCCGCUCCCCAACACCAUCACCAGCACUCCACACCGAACGCGAUACCAAGCAGACUUGUUGCUGAGCUAGCAGCUUGUCAGCUACCACAGGCUAACCACAACAAAUCAUACCGAAGAAACACUGCAGCAUGGAGGGAUGCGAAUGUAGCAGGAUGGGCCUUUAAUUAGUGCUGCAGUACCGGCCUAUCACGGUUGGUUGCGCUGCCUAUAAAGGUGAGUGAUUGUGGACUGGGAGCCCUCUUGCCUCGGAGCUACAGACUGCCCCGCCUCCUGUUAUCACCGCACCUGGCCGCCUCACCUGAUCGCCUUUUCAGCUGGGUCGUGCAGCUCGCCGUUGUUUGGCAGUUCAUUGGCCGGGUCUUCCUUCUCCCGUAUCGGCCCCAAUUGUAGGGCAUGCGAGUGUUUUCCUCCAUUGCCGGUUGCAGCGGGGAGCGAUCAGCUGAUCGAUCGAGUUGCACGUAAUUGUGCUGCUCGACGCAAGUGAUCCCCUUCCUCCCCUUUGAUGUUCAUUCAACUCCUGACGGGUUGACGUGUGUGUGGGCGGUUUCUGCCAGCACGUUUCCCCCCCCUCUUCACGCUGCUGUUGGCCGGCUGCUGUUUUGCCCACUGGCUUAUAUAGCCAACACAUCCAUCCUACUCUGCAUCUCCUACUGUGCUGUACCUGCCACCGAGUAUGGUGACUGCUGCCUCAUCCUCAGUCUCAUCUUAAUCUAUUCAGUUAACCGACUUCUAACUGAUCUUAUUGAUGAUAUUAUUUGUGUUUUGUGGUUUGCUUUGCAUGUUUUUGGUUUAAUUCGUUUUCUUAGUUAUUUUGGUUUGGCUUAAUUGCUUUACCUAUUUAUUUGGAUUUAUCAGUUUGGAUAAAUCUCAAUCAAUCAAUCAAUCAAUCAAAUUUUAUUUGUAUAGCCCAUAUUCACAAAUUACAAUUCAUCUCAUAGGGCUUUAACAGGGUGUGACAUCCU